rnacentral:rRNA from 1 species
UGCAGCCGAGCGGUAGAGAUCUUUUCGGGAUCUUGAGAGCGGCGCACGGGUUGCGGAACACGUGUGCAACCUGCCUUUAUCUGGGGGAUAGCCUUUCGAAAGGAAGAUUAAUACCCCAUAAUAUUUAGAAUGGCAUCAUUUUAAAUUGAAAACUCCGGUGGAUAGAGAUGGGCACGCGCAAGAUUAGAUAGUUGGUGAGGUAACGGCUCACCAAGUCAGCGAUCUUUAGGGGGCCUGAGAGGGUGAUCCCCCACACUGGUACUGAGACACGGACCAGACUCCUACGGGAGGCAGCAGUGAGGAAUAUUGGACAAUGGGUGAGAGCCUGAUCCAGCCAUCCCGCGUGAAGGACGACGGCCCUAUGGGUUGUAAACUUCUUUUGUAUAGGGAUAAACCUAGAUACGUGUAUCUAGCUGAAGGUACUAUACGAAUAAGCACCGGCUAACUCCGUGCCAGCAGCCGCGGUAAUACGGAGGGUGCAAGCGUUAUCCGGAUUUAUUGGGUUUAAAGGGUCCGUAGGCUGAUGUGUAAGUCAGUGGUGAAAUCUCACAGCUUAACUGUGAAACUGCCAUUGAUACUGCAUGUCUUGAGUGUUGUUGAAGUAGCUGGAAUAAGUAGUGUAGCGGUGAAAUGCAUAGAUAUUACUUAGAACACCAAUUGCGAAGGCAGGUUACUAAGCAACAACUGACGCUGAUGGACGAAAGCGUGGGGAGCGAACAGGAUUAGAUACCCUGGUAGUCCACGCCGUAAACGAUGCUAACUCGUUUUUGGGAUGUAAGUUUCAGAGACUAAGCGAAAGUGAUAAGUUAGCCACCUGGGGAGUACGAACGCAAGUUUGAAACUCAAAGGAAUUGACGGGGGCCCGCACAAGCGGUGGAUUAUGUGGUUUAAUUCGAUGAUACGCGAGGAACCUUACCAAGGCUUAAAUGGGAAAUGACAGGUUUAGAAAUAGACUUUUCUUCGGACAUUUUUCAAGGUGCUGCAUGGUUGUCGUCAGCUCGUGCCGUGAGGUGUUAGGUUAAGUCCUGCAACGAGCGCAACCCCUGUCACUAGUUGCCAUCAUUAAGUUGGGGACUCUAGUGAGACUGCCUACGCAAGUAGAGAGGAAGGUGGGGAUGACGUCAAAUCAUCACGGCCCUUACGCCUUGGGCCACACACGUAAUACAAUGGCCGGUACAGAGGGCAGCUACACAGCGAUGUGAUGCAAAUCUCGAAAGCCGGUCUCAGUUCGGAUUGGAGUCUGCAACUCGACUCUAUGAAGCUGGAAUCGCUAGUAAUCGCGCAUCAGCCAUGGCGCGGUGAAUACGUUCCCGGGCCUUGUACACACCGCCCGUCAAGCCUUGGAAAGUCUGGGGUACCUGAUUGUCGGUGACCGUUACAGGAAGCU